AGUGCGUCUGACUGUAUCACUUCCGAGUCUACACAGUCAGCAAUCGUUUCGGAUUCCGUGGGGGAAUCGGUAGCAUCUGAGGACUUGUUGGGACGUCGAGAGGAGCUUCCUGGGCAACCCUAUCCAGCUUUGAGUGACAACCACAUUCAAUUUUCCAACCAGGGGGAGGGAAAUAGUAGUGGGACGACUAGGUUUUUAAAGUCGACCGAUACGUGUCGCAACCCCCAAAGUUAUUCUGAGGUACGCACGCGUCCUCAUCGUGACAGAAACGGCCUCUGUGGCUCGAUGAUUUUUCUGUAGUGUAGAGCGUAUUGCCGUCUUCGAAAUGCCACGGCUAGGAGCCUCGUUGUGACAUUUAGGAGACAGUCCACGUUUCAUUAACACAGGUAUAAAAUGUGCUCCUUGUUGCGGUGCAGUGAGUUUUGUGCCGUGUUCUUUGUCAGACUUUGAGUGACUGCCUGUGUUUUGGUGCCCAAGACUGGUGCACGUGUAUGUGAACUUGGGCGGGGACGGACUGAAUUUGUUGUGGACUUAAGUGCGUGCUUUUUGUGCGACUGGUGUGCGUGUGUGAACGUGGAGGGAACGAACUGAAAUUGCCUUUGGACUUAAGUGCGCGUCUUGUGUGCGAGUUUCACUGUAUGCUUGCUUUGUUUCCAGGGGGGGGAUGAUGUAGUAUAGUGUCGCCCCCUGUCAGAUCUCUGUGUCAUCAUACAUGUAUGUUUUGUAGUUGUUUAGCUAGAUGGCGCACCCCCCCUUCUGUCAUGUGACGAGCUUGGACCAAUCGGGAGUGUCAUCUGGCGUGUGAAGCCUUUAUUAGUAAUAAACGGCCGCGGGUCGGCUGAGUCUUCGUUCCGGUUUUCA
rnacentral:lncRNA from 1 species